CCUGAUAGCUCAGUUGGUAAAGAAUCUGCCUGCAAUGCAGGAGACCCUGGUUCAAUUCCUGGAUCAGGA
rnacentral:tRNA from 1 species